UGACACAGAAGAUGUAUUACAAUCUAGGC
rnacentral:piRNA from 1 species